rnacentral:lncRNA from 1 species
GAAAUUUAUGAAACUUAAAGAUUUUUAACGCAGUUUGGCUGAAUGAAACGGUGCCCAUUCGAAUCGAUUCGUAAACAGGGGGGAUUCGUGGCUACAAUAAACAUUUACAAGCAGUUUUAUUUCCCCAGUUCGGACAAAGUGUUUACCUAUUUAAAAGGCGGGCGUUCUCUGUGUUAAGUUUGAACAGUCACUCGGAAGCGUUUCAGCCAUGCCCCCAAUUCAAAAUAGAGAUCAAUGGAUUUUCGGAUAACUGCUGCCCCCUGCUCCAAUAAAGAUAUACAAAAUUUUUUUUUUUUUUUUUUGAGGUUUUAAGUUACCGCUCUACCCUUAGGUAGAGGGGAAUUAUUUGGCCACCCGCCUUUCAAGGGGGAAAUCGCCACGUCGUAAUAUGUAACUUGUUACAGGUUUGCUCCAAUACUUACCUGGCGUAGAGGUUAUGUUCCCCACGUGCUUUAACCUUUUUUAUAUAUACAAAAUUAAUUCUUUAAACAUAUCGGUGUGGAGGAGACCAUAAAGGAGACCCUAAGACUGAAGGUUCGCUUGCGACAGCUGGUGGCUAAUAUCUCCGCCUUUUUUAAGUAAAAAAUUUUUCCUCUUGCAGAUUGGCAUCAAAUGGAGGCUGUAAUCAUGGGGAGAGAUGAAAUUCCUUCACGUCCAGAAUGCAGGGCCAAGGCAAUGCCACAGCCCCAAGCUGGCAAUGUGCAUCACAAGUAAAUGACAACGCUUCGAUGCUGCCAAAUAAACGUCCUGAUCUCCUUUUAGGAUAUUUUUGCGUGGAGCUCGUUGGUGUCGCUGCCAUUUAAUGUGGAAUGGCGCAGCUCAUCCUCUGCGCUAUCGUCGGCAGAGCCCAGGUCCUCCUUAUUAAUGGUGGCUACCACCGUUGGGUGCGACAUUUUCUGGCUUAAAGUUGGCCAGAGACGAGUUUCAGAAACAAGGGCGAUAUCCACCUGGAAGGAGUACAAAGUGGAAACCUUGAAAGUGAUUAAGAGUUUCUAGAGAAUACCAUUGCUUCCUAAUGCUUUGUGUGUGAUGGCCCGUGUUGACAAUAAAUAUCCACGCUCUUCGUGGGCGGGAUGGGGCACGUUAAUGUUAUAAUUGUCGAUUAUGAUUCAAUUUAAUUCAAUAAAUUAUUUUUAUUUUUAAACCAGACAGAUUAGAAAGUACGGGGGGGCCUUGACCAGGACUGUAGCUACCCUAGUAAACAGUGUACGCAUUUUACGUUGCGCCACCACCCACCACGGCUUGUGGUUGAGACGAGGUUUUGGGGCAAUCGCUUUCGUUUCACCGGCAGUGGCUUUUGGCGGGGGUAUUCUGGACUGUGGAUCCUCCGCCAACGCCUCCUCGCCACUGUUGCGAUGUAAAUCCAACCACUCAUCGGAGCUCAGAGGCAGCACCUCAGUGCCAUUGAGACCGGCAGAGGCGCGAUCCAUCCACAUAAGAAUGUUAC